CUGCUCAGUUUCUUCUUCCUGCAGCUGGUUGAGUUCUUUCUAGACAGAGACAAGUGACAAGAAUCAGAGGUUUAAAAGCAACCACAUUCAUCUCUGCAGGUUUUGUAGUUUUAUAUAAGCAAGGAGCUCGUCCAGCAAACCUUCCGCACACUUCUUGUUCUUGGUCUCUUCAGCCACUUUCCUUCUUGUUCUCUGGAGAUCUUGCAGAAAAGAGCCUAUAGUGUUUCCCUUGCUCAGUCAUGCUCCUGGUGUUCAUCCCACUGCUGGGGAUACAUUUUGUCCUGAGAACUGCCAGAGCCCAGUCAGUGACCCAGCCUGACAUCCACAUCACUGUCUCUGAAGGAGCCUCACUGGAGUUGAGAUGUAACUAUUCCUAUGGGGCAACACCUUCUCUCUUCUGGUAUGUCCAGUCCCCCGGCCAAGGCCUCCAGCUGCUCCUGAAGUACUUUUCAGGAGACACUCUGGUUCAAGGCAUUAAAGGCUUUGAGGCUGAAUUUAAGAGGAGUCAAUAUUCCUUCAACCUGAGGAAACACUCUGUGCAUUGGAGUGAUGCUGCUGAGUACUUCUGUGCUGCGGGUGCCACAGUGCCUGGGUCUGCAGCGGGAGCUGAACACAAACUGCCUAUGCCAGAGAAGUUUUCAGAGACUCAGUGUAUCUUCCUGUGGCAUUUUCAAAGAUCUCUUACUUUUAUGAUGGUGAGUGAGGCAAAGAGAGCUGAGCACAUCCAGGCAUUUCUAUAUAAUUCUGCAAUUCCUGCUGUGUCCCAUGUCAGGUAAACUUUGUUUUAGAAGCUUUUUGUUAAUUGAAGAAACUGCGUAAUAGGA